GGCGUGGCGCACGGGUGCGUAACGCGUGGACAACCUGCCCACCAGUGGGGAAUAACCCCGGGAAACUGGGGCUAAUACCGCAUACUCUUUCCUGGAUGAUGAUCCGGGAAUGGAAAGCCGCAAGGCGCUAGUGGAGGGGUCCGCGUCCGAUCAGCUAGUUGGUGAGGUCAUGGCUCACCAAGGCGAAGACCGGUAGCUGGUCUGAGAGGACGACCAGCCACACUGGGACUGAGACACGGCCCAGACUCCUACGGGAGGCAGCAGUGGGGAAUAUUGCGCAAUGGACGAAAGUCUGACGCAGCGACGCCGCGUGGAGGACGAAGCCCUUCGGGGUGUAAACUCCUUUCGACGGGGGACGAAACUCUCGCAAGAGACUGACGGUACCCGUAUAAGAAGCCCCGG
rnacentral:rRNA from 1 species